UGGUUCUCCUAGUGCCCUGCCAGGGGCUUUCCUGUCUGAGGGAGCUAAGCUGAGGAGAGCUGGGCCUCCCGGAUGAGGAUUUCUGCAAGCUGGGCCAGGCUGUGGGGGCCGCAUCCUGGCAAGAUAGGAGAGUGUCCUCCAGGCACCUUGAGACCAUCUACCACAUGAAGAUUGGUACAGGAGGGCCUCCCCUGGAUGUCAGACGGCCAAGGUAGAUCACUUUGCUGUGAGACCAGACACCGCCUCUUCUGUUACGGCUGGAUGAGGAAACCCAGUAGGAGGAAUGGGACCCAAAAGCGGGCAGCAGAGUCAGAGACAGCCGCUGCUCCCACAGUCAGGAGUCCCCUAAGACCACUUACACAGCUGUAGCACAUCUGCAGAGGGCCUAGGUCAGUCCCACGCAGGCUCCCUGGCGGUCAGUUCAGUCUCUGUGAGCCCCUGUGAGCUCAGGUGAGUAGAUUCUGUGGGUUUCUUGUGGUGUCCUUCUGGCUCCUACAACCCUUCCUCCCUGUCUUCUGCAGGAUUCCCUGAGCUCUUCCUAGUGUUCAGCUGUGGGUGUCUGCCACAGGGGACCUGGGAGGAGAUUGGGGUACUGCCUUAAGGACCUUCCAGGUGACGGUCUGGACCUCUGCCCAAGCUGGGUCCCGGCUUUCUCGGUGAGGGUGUAACCCAGCCUCCAGUCUACCCCUGCCACGGAAACCCUGGCUGUGACAGACACAGACCUGAGAGCCCCAUUUCUGUCCUGCAGUUGCUGAGCCACUAAGCUGUCCCAGCCUGCUACAUUGUAUUGUAGUCACUGGUUCUUACUGAGCUGAUGGGGGACCUAGUGUUGAUUUCCAGAGCCUACCUUCACACUUUCAAGCCCAGUCCCAGUGAGCUCAGGGAGCCUCAGGGUGCUCCAUGUCCUUGCGCCUGGUGGCCAUGAAGUCAGAGACACCCCAAAGUUAUUCAGGGUAAACGCCACAGAUCCCAUUCCCUGCCCUACUUUGCCUCAGAAGAGACCAGUCACUUGUUUGGAACAAAAUGUAAGAGGCCACUAAACCCUCACUAAGCAAGACUGACAACAUUUUAGCACAAUACUGUUCAGAACCAGAACAAAGGCACAGCUUGUGAGAAAAAAAAACUCGAACUUUUCAGCAAGUCAGGAUGCCCUGCCCUGAGUCCUCACUCCAAGCAGGCAGAAGGACCCAGGGAAGUCAGGCAGAAGCUGGCCCACCUCCACCUCCGCCUCCGCAACAUGGUCUCCAUAGUGACUGGUUUGGGGAGGUGGAUGAGGUGUCCCCAGGAAGGGGAAUCCCUGUAGGAAGAGGAUAUGAACUUCCUCCCCCAGGAAACACAUGCCAAGAUGUGAAAGGAAACUCCCCCAGGGGCUUUCCCGGGUCAGACCUGGGCUGGCUUUCCCCCAGUUUGGAUUUAGACAGAGUCCCCAGGGCACAGGACAGAAACCCCUAUCCUCCUGCAUCCCGUGCCACGUCCAGGAGAAGCCCCAUCUCUCUCCUCCAGGAGGAACGUGGAAGGUCCUGGAUUUCCUGUUUCCUCCGGUGUUUCCAGCUGCUGUGGGGAGCUGACUUUAAUGGGAAAAAAGCCAAGAUACGUUUCCAGAAUCUGGUUGGAUUUCUUGAUUUAAAGUCGUCACCAGUCGCUGGGACACUGGAGGGAGAGUGGAGUUGUUCCCAGUUGCCAACGGCUUCAAAGGUCUGGGAAGUCCCCUCCACGGCAGUUACCCUGUGAGGAGAGCAGGACUGGACUUGCUGCUCUGUUAAUGCGGGGUCACUGAGUAGCUCUUCGCAAGGAGCCUGUAUGGAGGACUUGGGCUGCCUCUAAUAUCAGUGUGGACGGGGUAGGGAAGGGGCAGAGAGUGAGUACUGACCCGAGAGCCUCAGAGACCAGUAGUUGGAGCCGCCUGACAGCAGCUAUGGCUUCUAGUGAAAGGACACUGGCAAGCCCUCGCCCCCUGGAGUAUAGACUAAAUGCAGGGACCUCCAGAGAAAUGAACUACAGGCCUUGGAUGGUCCUCCCCAUCUGUGAGUGGGUUCACAUACUUGGACUCAGCCAGCCGGAUGCCCAAGUCAUAUAUGCAAUGUCAGUGUUUGCUCAUGACCCACAUGUGCCGUCCCAAGAGCUUGGAAACUCACUCCACACAGUGCCAGUCAGCCAUCUGCUUGCAAGGGUCAGUUGAGGAAACAAAGUCUGCCUGCGUUGCGGCAGCAUCCUGACUUCAGUCCCCGUCCCUGAUCAGUUGGGUGUAGGACAUUAAAUCGCUGACAAAUGAGACAGAAUGCACACCUGAAUGAUGGAAGGUGACAUCUAUUUAUUUUAAGGACAGGUUGAAGGCGGGCUGAGAGCUGGAGACUAUAGAAGUCUUAAGGCAAAAUUCCUUCCUUGGAGAAGCCUGGGGAUUGCUCUUAGGGUCCCUCCUGACUGAGCCACGCCCAGCCAAACACUGGAGGCCCAGCCUCUUUACCAAGUUGACUGACAGCAGGUGAUGGCAAACACUUUCUGAAACAUCUGACUAAUCACUGGGUACUUCAGUCUGGCCCAGAUGAUCCAUUAAAUCAUCACAUCCCAACUUUACCUCUCCGGAAUGUCGUAGGUUUUUUUGGGUUUCCUGUUGACUAGGUACAAAGGAAGGCAGAGAACUCACUAGUGUCUGUCUCCACAGCCUCGUUAGAGAGAGGUCAAUGCAAGAGUUCAAAGCUCCCAGGCAUACAGAAGCUCACUGCAUACCAACCUGGAAUAAUGUAUCCAAAGGGCUUAGCCUGGAAUUCUGGGUCUGUAAGAACUACUCAGAACAGGGUCACCUGCUGGAGAGAGUACCUCGUGCUCUUGUUGUAGAAGCUGGGGUGGUGGCCUUACCUGUCUCCCACCAGGCUCCUGCCUCGUGCACACAGCCUGCCCAUCACAAUGCAGGGACUGGACGGCUUGCUGGCACAGCUAGUCUUCUUCCCAGAGCCUUGUGAUAGCAUCUUAGAGGACUCUCCAGUAUGUCUGAGCCUGCAUUCCUGAUGGGACACCUCCUAUGGGCCUCAUGCACAUGCGGGCUUUGGUAACCCCUUGGUAAUCUGCUGUGGAUUCGUUAGUCUUGGCAAUUAUUCAGUAACCAACGCUCCCAAACCUAUGGUUCCACGCUGUUACAAUGCACUCCAAAGGACUGGAUGGACAGGUCAGCUUUUCCUGCACUGGGGGAUCCUGGUUCCUCCACAGACAUACUUUCCAGAGGCCCACGGCGGGAGUAGAAGAUUGCAGUGUGGCCCACAGCCCAGGAAUAUUUUGGCAAGAAGGUACAUGUAUUACUUCUGCUCAGAGAUCCUUGGCCAUGGCUGGUCAUGUGAUCCUAAUCUAAUCACAAGGAAGGUUAGGGAGUGUGAAAAAAGACAAGUAGAUAUUUGGCCGACACUAGUGCCCUUCCCCCACACAUUGGUAAGGCAUCUGGGAGAGGGAGGUGGGGUGGGAACCGGUUCUCUCAUGGUACAGGAAAUCACCCCAAAGCCUAUGGGCUUCAGCACCCUGAGUUUGGAAGCCCCAGCUCUAUGGGUCCGCGUGCUCAGUGACUAUCAUGAACUUGUAACUGAGACGCUACAUGUGACUGGGUUGGGAAUACAUUUCUAUGAAGUGUCUCGUGUAGUUGGAGGCUUCAGCAUAUCAUGGCUGUUGGUUGUGGCUAAACCCCGGCCGUGUGAUGCACAACAUCUCCACAGGGUCUCCCCAUAAAUCAGAGCCAACACCCUCAGCAAAGAGAGCCAAGAUGGAGCAAGGUGGAAACCUGUCACGUGUGACCUGGUGGCGGCCAACACCAUCACACAGACCAGCAGCCUCAGUGCUGUUAGAGUCCAGUGAUGUGUGAUAUACUGUGUUAAUUUUCCUGGCCCAGGAGGUACCUGCUUGGAUAGGCAUGGCUUCAGGUUGUGGCGUGAGCAGGAUGGCCUGGGAAUUGGUGGCUGAGAGAGGGACAGGCUUCCCCAAUAUGAGGGACUCUUUCAGUCUGCUGGCGGCCUGGGGAGACCCAAGAGCCAUUGGAGGGGACUCAGUCUCUGCCUGGAGUCCUUCAAGCUGUGCUGUUUUGCUUACCUAUCUUCAGACUUGAACUGGAGUCACCCAUGGGCUUUCCUGUAUAAUGUUCUCUCUACAAUCAUGUGCAACCAUUUCUUAUGACAAAUAAACACAUAGCUGGUUGUCUCUGUG